UAUCUCCAGAAGAUCAAGUUUUGCUUAGUGUCUUUGGGCAAUAUUAUCCCCUUCUUAAAUUCCCAGGAUUGGUUGGGAACUCUUGACCUUUGAAAUGCAUGCUUCCAUAGCUUAAUAAGGCAGUUACACUUGGGGCAUUUCAGACUUAAGCUGGGCAGCAGUACAAGGUGCUAACUCUUAGGGACAGCGUUGCUAGUGCAAAUGGAUGGUAGCUGAGUAUUAUGGAAGAGCGAGGAUAUCGCUGAAGGUCACAGCACUGAGGAGAGAGUCUCCUUUAUCUCAGGACAUCGGAACUGGAUUCAAAUAAAGGGUGAAUUUUAGCCAUCUCAUCUUUUAAAGGGAUGAAGGGGACACACAAAAAAAACCAUUCCCACGAAAGCAAGAAAUGGGAAAAGACUGUCACCUAAGUGCAGUGGCCCUUCGUAAAAGAAGGAGUUGGAAGUAUUCCCACUGAGUUCUGAGACCGUGAGAGAGGGCUGUUUCUGUGCCCAGACUUAUGCUCCCCAUCACAGUACAGUGCCAUCACAGAGGAGAGUCAUCACACUGUGCUUCUCAGGCCUGUGAUUUUCAAGUGCACAGUUCCCAGUGCCAGUGAGUGGAGCUGUGUAAGCAGGGAUUCACAAGCUGUCACCCGGAGCUACAUUCACACAAGCACUAAUAUCAUUCAUUUCCCUUGUGAUGCUGUGAGAAGUGCAAGCAAGGAAAAAAUAGAGUAUUCUGGUGCAGUCUGUUCACUGGCCACCUUCUUGGGAGUCAAAUUACCUUAAUGUAUCAAUAAAAUCUGAGUGAGUCUUCAUUCUUGGAUGUUCAGAAGGAAAGAAGUUCUAUGUCCUGCAGGGAUGGCCAAGUCCUUUCUUUCCGAUACUUCAUUACAGAUCUCAGAGCUCGACUUCUGGACAAGAUAAUGAUGGGAACAUUUCUGAAGAAGGGAACGACCUCUGGCUUUGGAAAGAAACAGCCAAGAAAAAAUCCAGAGCUUCCAGUCUACUGUCUUGAAGCACCUCCUCCGGACUGUCAGCUCCUACGUGCUGACAAGGUGUUGAACAUAGUGUAUGCCAGCUUUCAUUUACUCCAUUCUUAGGCACCCAAUUUUAUGAAAUGAUAAACACUGGACAAAGAGAGUAUGAAUAGCGUGACUAUUUCAGUACUUAACUUUGCAAAGCUUAGCGCUUACUUUUAGACUUAGGUAGCCACUAAGAGCAGAUGUAAUACAAUACAGCAAUUUUGGUGCCACAGCAUUUGCUGGAAGGUGGAUAUUUAAAAAUAAAAUGCAUUCAUGUUCAGCAGUGUCUUUGUAGAGGGGAAUUCCUUAAGUUGUGUAACUCAGUGUGAAUAAGCAACUUGUUCAGCCAUGAUGAUGAUUAGCUUUUCACGAGCACUGUUUUCACUCCUCCAUUCAGAGCAGAGGGAAGCAGGCAUUGCACCACAUUCUCUGUCACUGCAAUAUUUUUUCAAAGAAAAACUGACAUGAGACGAGUUUAAUGGUACCACAGUGUCCUUGGGAUAAAGAACAUAGAGCCUUUUUUAGUUCUUCUUAAAUUAGAUACCAGGAAGGCUUAUUGCCACAGUUUCAUACUAUAAAUAACGUCACCUGGAUUGGAAGUGCUGCAAUGAUCCUUGCAAAAUGCUUCUGCUGAUAGAACACAGGGGACCAAGCUGAUCUGCCCCUACUGUGAUUAAUAAUUAUCUCAGAGGUGAAUUUCAUUAUAUUCGAGUAAUUAUUUCAGUGUAAGAUUUAAAAUUACAAAGACGGAUAUAGAUGUGGCACUGAUGAAAGCCAGUUUGUGUAACUGCAAGCUGCUCUGUCCACAAGAUCUGACAAUGCUAACAUGAAGUAUAAGAAAAAGAGUUAACAUCCUCUUUGUCCCUUCCACUCUUACAUCCUUUCAGUGACACCACAUCUGAGUUCAUAAUUCAGAAUGUGAAAAAUUAUAGUGCCGCACUGAAAUGCUUCAGAACAAGAGGUGACUUUAAUCCUGCUCUUGCCAAAGAUCUUUUAAUAUUUGUUUCUUUUCUGCAUAAAAUCUGUGUAAAAUACAGAUCUUUUUUCUAGAGCUUAGAUGUGAUAAGGUGGUAUUUUAUGGCACUUCAUAGCCUAUACUGAAUACCAGCUUUAUGAAUCAUUAGGCCUUACUGUUGACUUGCACAGAAGCAAGGCUUUCUAUGCACUAAAAAGAAGCUUUGUGUUUUGUCAGUCCUCUCUUCACAGAGUAAUCUUUGGUCAUCUACACAGCAAGUAAUCUAGAGUAAAAAAAUCUCAAGUAAUCUGGAAAGAAAGAAGCCCUGCUUUGUUAAAAGAGUGAAUCAACUUCUCCCCUUUAUCUUAUUUAUAUCUCCCAAGCAGCACAGGGAUUAAGAUGUAUUGUCAAAGUCUUGCCUCACCCAACUUGCCACAUUACUUAUGAGUUCACGAAUAAGCUGGCUCCUUAGCUUUAACUAUGAGUGUUAUGAACGAGUCAGGUAAACGCAUUUGAAAUAGGCUGUACCUUCGUGAAAUGCUAUUUUCCAUACCAUAACACAGUAGACAUAGACCAACCUCGCAUUAAGUCAUCCAACAACAAGAAUACCUGCAGGCCAAACAUGGGCCUUCUAACAGAUAAAUAUUUUUAUCUAGUUUAUAAAGAUAAAUUUAAAUAUCACUGAAUGGAGAAAAUUUAUUAAUAUGGUCUCUUGUUCUGAAAGCAAACAUUUCCUUUUUUUAUUAUUUAUUUUCAGUACUUCAUACAUCAUUUUCAACAAGAAGUGACAAAAAUCUCAACUGUUAAACUCUUAGCAGGUGGAAACCCUGGUUAAGCUGACUGUAACAAAUAGCUGCAAUUUAAGCCUAUCUUUUUGAAGAAUGAUAUGCUGAAGUACAACUGAAUAAAUAAGUACCUUUUAAAUAUGUCUCAAAUAAAACUGAAUAGUUUACUGAAUACUGUGUUGGUAUGUUUUCCCAACAUGAUUUGUAGAAAGCAACAUGAGUAACACUCGAAGCUCCAAGUGCCAAUAUAUUAACAAAGUGUUUCAUGUUUUUCUCACUGAAAAGUAAUUUACUUCUGCUCAUCGCUCUUUACAUAUUUUGAGGAAGGCUGAAAAUCGUGGGGGAAAAGAAAGCAAGACUGUGUUAAUUUAAUUUAAAUAUAUUGUAUAUUAUUUGACAUAAUACGCAAUUUAAUAUGUCAG
ensembl:lncRNA